rnacentral:lncRNA from 1 species
UUAAGAGUUUAACUCUGGUUUUCUUCCUUUACUUUUUGACUGAUUUCCAUCCCUAUGUCUUUAUGUCCUAGGGUUUCUAACUAUUCUACUACUUGCUAUAAUGUUUGCUUGUUUACUUUGGCUGUCAUUAAACUGAGUAAUUGAUUUAUCUGCCUAAUUAGGGUUUGAAAUUACAUAUUCUUUUACCCAUUAUUUCCUUAUCUAUAUGAUUCGUAAGUGGUACUACUUUUCUUAAUUAUAUCACUGGCCUGAUUUCUGGGCCUUAAUUGUUAUGACCGACCUUUGAGGGAUUUCUGGACUUAUUAUUUACCUUAUUAAACCUCAAUCUUGUCUGAUAAUUGAUUUCAUAUAAGAUUCUCCUUAGUCUAAGUAAUAAUUCUGUAAUUAUGUCCUAUUAUAUGAUUUGUGUUUAAC